rnacentral:rRNA from 1 species
UACGGAGGGUGCAAGCGUUAUCCGGAUUCACUGGGUUUAAAGGGUGCGUAGGUGGGUCUGUAAGUCAGUGGUGAAAUCUCCGGGCUUAACCCGUAAACUGCCAUUGAUACUACAGGUCUUGAAUUUUCCGGAGGUAAGCGGAAUAUGUCAUGUAGCGGUGGAAUGCUUAGAUAUGACAUAGAACACCAAUUGCGAAGGCAGCUUACUACAGGAACAUUGACACUGAGGCACGAAAGCGUGGGGAUCAAACAGG